rnacentral:rRNA from 1 species
GACGUAGGGCGCGAGCGUUGUCCGGAUUUAUUGGGCGUAAAGCGCGUGUAGGCGGCCACACAGGUCCGUUGUGAAAACUCGAGGCUUAACCUCGAGACGUCGAUGGAAACCGUAUGGCUAGAGUGCGGUAGGGGCAGAGGGAAUUCCCAGUGUAGCGGUGAAAUGCGUAGAGAUUGGGAAGAACACCGGUGGCGAAAGCGCUCUGCUGGGCCGCAACUGACACUAAUGGACGAAAGCUAGGGGAGCGAAUGGG